GAGAGAAAAAGAAAGACACACACAGAGAAGGAAAAGUGAGAAAAACAUCUGAACAGUGAGGCGCGCUGUGGUGGAAACAUGGAGGGGAAACUGCAGCGGAGGGAGGAGAGAGAAGCUGUCAAUAGUGAGGAUGUUAAUUCCCUGAUGUUACUGGAGCUGACCCCAGUGUAGUAGACAGCUGCUCCUGAGGACGCUCACAGCUGAUCUGAGGUCAGAAUCGGCGCGUGAACUGACUGAACAAACAGUUUGUUGUUUUUAAAAUGCAAACAGUCAGACACAGUUCAUGUCGAGCUGUUGGUAUCGACAGUUCGAUGUCUGAUUGAGUCGUCUGUGUUGUCAGUCUGUAUCGUCUGACCCGAUCGACGGAGCGGGUUUCACCGCCACACAGAUGUCACGACAAGCGGGCGGCGAGGGCGGAGGCAGACGUGAGAGGCGGAGCUGCACAAAUCAAUCAGCGAGAAGUGACUCAUCUGCUCCUGGAGGCUCUGACAACUGCCGGGCAGCACGCCAGCAUCCCGGCUUUGGUGCAAAUAACGGAGGAAAAAUGACGUGGGCGGGAUAAGCUCCCCUGCAUUACAAACAUUUUUAACCCCUUAUUAGCCAGAGCACCGCCUCAGGACCCUCAUAGAUGCUGUCGGGCCCCGGGGACUCCAAACAGUCCGCUGUGGAUUUUAUAUUUUAACACUUGAUUCAUGUUGCGUUGGCCUGAUUUACAGACUUUUAACCCUGAUGUUACUUCUGAGUCUGCUGGGUGUCAUCUUGUGUUUGAUGGUUGUAUUAUGGGUUAAUUUGAUUAGUUGAUUUGCUGUUGAAGUUUUAAUCGUUGAUCCAUAAAAUGUCAAAGUAUCUGAAUGUGCAUUUAAAAGUCCAAAUAGUCAUAAAUCAUUUGUUCUGUCUAUUUAAGAAUCAAGAGUCCAGAUAGUAAAUAACAAACUAUUAUAGAAGUUUACAGCACAUGCCAAUCUUCCUCAUUUAAAGCAAAAGACCAGAAGCCAAAGCAGCGUCUCCUGAUGUUGAACAUUUCCUGUUUUCUUUGUUAUUGUUCCACAGCUGAAGUUCACAUGAGCAGAUGACUCACAGCCUGAAUGAAUGAAGUCAGUGUGUUCCUCACUGUGCCUCAUCCUG